GACGGGACCCGCACAAGCGGCGGAGCAUGCGGAUUUAAUUCGAUGCAACGCGAAGAACCUUACCGAAGGCUUGACAUAUAGAGGAAACGUCUGGAAACAGUCGCCCCGCAAGGUCUCUAUACAGGUGGUGCAUGGUUGUCGUCAGCUCGUGUCGUGAGAUGUUGGGUUAAGUCCCGUAACGAGCGCAACCCUUGUCCUUAGUUACCAGCACGUUAUGGUGGGCACUCUAAGGAGACUGCCGGUGACAAACCGGAGGAAGGUGGGGAUGACGUCAAGUCAUCAUGGCCCUUACGGCCUGGGCUACACACGUGCUACAAUGGUCGGUACAAAGGGUUGCCAAGCCGCGAGGUGGAGCUAAUCCCAUAAAACCGAUCGUAGUCCGGAUCGCAGUCUGCAACUCGACUGCGUGAAGUCGGAAUCGCUAGUAAUCGUGAAUCAGAAUGUCACGGUGAAUACGUUCCCGGGCCUU
rnacentral:rRNA from 1 species